rnacentral:rRNA from 1 species
GACGAACGCUGGCGGCGUGCCUAAUACAUGCAAGUAGAACGCAGUUGCGAACGGGUGAGUAACGCGUAGGUAACUGCCUCAUAGCGGGGGAUAACUAUUGGAAACGAUAGCUAAUACCGCAUACUAUUCGAGCGGCCGAUAACUGAUUAGCUAGUUGGUGGGGUAAAGGCCUACCAAGGCGACGAUCAGUAGCGGGUCUGAGAGGACGAUCCGCCACACUGGGACUGAGACACGGCCCAGACUCCUACGGGAGGCAGCAGUAGGGAAUCUUCGGCAAUGGACGGAAGUCUGACCGAGCAACGCCGCGUGAGUGAAGAAGGUUUUCGGAUCGUAAAGCUCUGUUGUUAGAGAAGCGGUAACUAACCAGAAAGGGACGGCUAACUACGUGCCAGCCGCCGCGGUAAUAC